GACGUAGGUGGCGAGCGUUGUCCGGAAUUACUGGGCGUAAAGGGCGUGUAGGCGGCCUGCUAAGUCAGACGUGAAAUCCUUGGGCUUAACCUAGGGACUGCGUUUGAUACUGGUGGGCUUGAGGACGGGAGAGGAAAGUGGAACUCCGUGUGUAGCGGUGAAAUGCGUAGAUAUACGGAAGAACACCAGUGGCGAAGGCGACUUUCUGGACCGUCCCUGACGCUGAGGCGCGAAAGCCAGGGGAGCAAACGGG
rnacentral:rRNA from 1 species